AGAUUAAGUUAUUAAGGGCGCACGGUGGAUGCCUUGGCACUAGAAGCCGAUGAAGGACGUUACUAACGACGAUAUGCUUUGGGGAGCUGUAAGUAAGCUUUGAUCCAGAGAUUUCCGAAUGGGGAAACCCAGCAUGAGUUAUGUCAUGUUAUCGAUAUGUGAAUACAUAGCAUAUCAGAAGGCACACCCGGAGAACUGAAACAUCUUAGUACCCGGAGGAAGAGAAAGAAAAUUCGAUUCCCUUAGUAGCGGCGAGCGAAACGGGAAGAGCCCAAACCAACAAGCUUGCUUGUUGGGGUUGUAGGACACUCUAUACGGAGUUACAAAGGACGACAUUAGACGAAUCAUCUGGAAAGAUGAAUCAAAGAAGGUAAUAAUCCUGUAGUCGAAAAUGUUGUCUCUCUUGAGUGGAUCCUGAGUACGACGGAGCACGUGAAAUUCCGUCGGAAUCUGGGAGGACCAUCUCCUAAGGCUAAAUACUCUCUAGUGACCGAUAGUGAACCAGUACCGUGAGGGAAAGGUGAAAAGCACCCCGGAAGGGGAGUGAAAUAGAACCUGAAACCGUGUGCUUACAAGUAGUCAGAGCCCGUUAAUGGGUGAUGGCGUGCCUUUUGUAGAAUGAACCGGCGAGUUACGAUUUGAUGCAAGGUUAAGCAGUAAAUGUGGAGCCGUAGCGAAAGCGAGUCUGAAUAGGGCGUUUAGUAUUUGGUCGUAGACCCGAAACCAGGUGAUCUACCCUUGGUCAGGUUGAAGUUCAGGUAACACUGAAUGGAGGACCGAACCGACUUACGUUGAAAAGUGAGCGGAUGAACUGAGGGUAGCGGAGAAAUUCCAAUCGAACCUGGAGAUAGCUGGUUCUCUCCGAAAUAGCUUUAGGGCUAGCCUCAAGUGAUGAUUAUUGGAGGUAGAGCACUGUUUGGACGAGGGGCCCCUCUCGGGUUACCGAAUUCAGACAAACUCCGAAUGCCAAUUAAUUUAACUUGGGAGUCAGAACAUGGGUGAUAAGGUCCGUGUUCGAAAGGGAAACAGCCCAGACCACCAGCUAAGGUCCCAAAAUAUAUGUUAAGUGGAAAAGGAUGUGGCGUUGCCCAGACAACUAGGAUGUUGGCUUAGAAGCAGCCAUCAUUUAAAGAGUGCGUAAUAGCUCACUAGUCGAGUGACACUGCGCCGAAAAUGUACCGGGGCUAAACAUAUUACCGAAGCUGUGGAUUGUCCUUUGGACAAUGGUAGGAGAGCGUUCUAAGGGCGUUGAAGCAUGAUCGUAAGGACAUGUGGAGCGCUUAGAAGUGAGAAUGCCGGUGUGAGUAGCGAAAGACGGGUGAGAAUCCCGUCCACCGAUUGACUAAGGUUUCCAGAGGAAGGCUCGUCCGCUCUGGGUUAGUCGGGUCCUAAGCUGAGGCCGACAGGCGUAGGCGAUGGAUAACAGGUUGAUAUUCCUGUACCACCUAUAAUCGUUUUAAUCGAUGGGGGGACGCAGUAGGAUAGGCGAAGCGUGCGAUUGGAUUGCACGUCUAAGCAGUAAGGCUGAGUAUUAGGCAAAUCCGGUACUCGUUAAGGCUGAGCUGUGAUGGGGAGAAGACAUUGAGUCUUCGAGUCGUUGAUUUCACACUGCCGAGAAAAGCCUCUAGAUAGAAAAUAGGUGCCCGUACCGCAAACCGACACAGGUAGUCAAGAUGAGAAUUCUAAGGUGAGCGAGCGAACUCUCGUUAAGGAACUCGGCAAAAUGACCCCGUAACUUCGGGAGAAGGGGUGCUCUUUAGGGUUAACGCCCAGAAGAGCCGCAGUGAAUAGGCCCAAGCGACUGUUUAUCAAAAACACAGGUUUCUGCUAAACCGUAAGGUGAUGUAUAGGGGCUGACGCCUGCCCGGUGCUGGAAGGUUAAGAGGAGUGGUUAGCUUCUGCGAAGCUACGAAUCGAAGCCCCAGUAAACGGCGGCCGUAACUAUAACGGUCCUAAGGUAGCGAAAUUCCUUGUCGGGUAAGUUCCGACCCGCACGAAAGGCGUAACGAUUUGGGCACUGUCUCAACGAGAGACUCGGUGAAAUCAUAGUACCUGUGAAGAUGCAGGUUACCCGCGACAGGACGGAAAGACCCCGUGGAGCUUUACUGUAGCCUGAUAUUGAAAUUCGGCACAGCUUGUACAGGAUAGGUAGGAGCCUUUGAAACGUGAGCGCUAGCUUACGUGGAGGCGCUGGUGGGAUACUACCCUAGCUGUGUUGGCUUUCUAACCCGCACCACUUAUCGUGGUGGGAGACAGUGUCAAGCGGGCAGUUUGACUGGGGCGGUCGCCUCCUAAAAGGUAACGGAGGCGCUCAAAGGUUCCCUCAGAAUGGUUGGAAA
rnacentral:rRNA from 1 species